UACGUAGGGAGCAAGCGUUGUCCGGAAUCAUUGGGCGUAAAGCGCGCGUAGGUGGCUUCGUAAGUCCGUUGUGAAAGUCAAAGGCUCAACCUUUGAAAGCCGAUGGAUACUGUGGAGCUAGAGUACGGAAGAGGCGAGUGGAAUUCCUGGUGUAGCGGUGGAAUGCGCAGAUAUCAGGAGGAACACCAGUGGCGAAGGCGGUUGCCUGGGGCUUUGCUGACGCUGAUGCGCGAAAGCGUGGGGAGCGAUCCGG
rnacentral:rRNA from 1 species